rnacentral:tRNA from 1 species
ACCUGGGUGGCUCAGUCAGUUGAGCAUCUGACUUCAGCUCAGGUCAUGAUCUCACGGUCCGUGAGUUCGAGCCCCACAUCAGGUU